UCUCCGUUGGUGAACCAGCGGAGGGAUCAUUACAGAGUUUUCACAACUCCCAACCCUUGCGAACCGUACCCAUUCUGUUCUCGUUGCUUCCGGCGGGGGGGACGGGGGGGCACAAAACGCCCUCCCCGCCCCGCCCGCCGGGGGCGUCUGGCCCCACGAACCUUUAUAUCUCAAACACCAGAAAACGUCUGACAAAACAAACAAAAUAAUCAAAACUUUCAACAACGGAACCAUUGCCUCUGGCAUCGCUGAAGAACGCAGCAGACCGGAAUAGCACAC
rnacentral:misc_RNA from 1 species